UUAACCAGUUUCUUUCAUUCUAGUGGGCCUUUCUAUUUUAGAGAAAUAAAAGUGAUCUGGGACUCUAUCCGUUCUCACCUAAAAUCUUGGGGUAGGUAAUGGCUGUCUACAACCUGGUCCAACAUAUGCCCCCCAAACUAAAACAAACAAACUCAUUUGCCAUACAAAUUGUUUACGAUUCAUUAAAAAGCAAAAUUGCAUGUCCUGGUGCUGGCAGCUGAGGCCGAGAGCCUCCGGGCGGAGGGGCAUUCACUGAGUUGCCUUUGUAUGCCGGGAGGACAAGCCGGAGGCUCCCACUCUGCAGCCGGAGUCUGUGCAGCCAGAUGACGCAUGAGCUUCCAGUUUUAACCUUCAACUCUGUUGCCUCCCAUGGUUCGCUGGAUAUUUCCCAGGUCAGUCACAAGAAGCUUAACGAUAGUGCAGAGAACACCAAACUGGAAAGCAGGACCUGUGGAUUCUAGCCAGGACCAUGCCAUUAACCCACUGCAUACUCUUGGGUAAUUCUUAUAUCAAAAGUGUUUGAGAAUUCUAUUGUAUAUUCUCCUGUGUAUGGGCCAUGGAUGGAGGAGAUCUGCAUAAUUUGAAUCAAUCCUAACAAUCAAUAGAUGGGAACUGUCUCAGUCACUUUUUUUUUAGGGAAAGAAGCUACUCAAUCCUACACAAGAUACUUGGUGAUGCUCUAAACCACAUGGUCCAAGAUUGCUUACUACCAUGCCGGGAUUCCAUCCAGAAUGAAGAGGGAGAGAGGAAGAGGCAAACAUGCCUUUCUCUUUAAAGGGCAGGUGAGUCCUACAGCAGAGUCACCUCUUUGCAUCCAAACUUGCAUCGUGGAAGACAGUUGGGGCUGUGUUUCCAGCAGGCUGCCCAGCUUUUCGGGAGGUUCCUCUGAGGUAUGGUUUGCACUGCCCACAACCAUGGAUCCCAGCCUACACCCAGGGGUGGCACCGAGUGGCUCCUUUUCCUCACUGCUUUACAGCAUCAAGAGCCAGUACCUACAAGAAGAUCUCUUCAAGAAAUUCUGUAAGGCGGCAGCUGUGCAAGUACCAGAAGCUCAUGACUGUCAAGUUGGCCCUGGAUGUGGAGAUCACCAUCUACUGCAAGCCUCUGGAGGGAGA